ACACACACACACACACACACAUACACGCACAUACACACGCACACUCACACAUACACACGCACACUCCCAAGGUAAGGGAAAGGUUUUGUUUAUGCCUUGUUUUGAACAUAAAUGAAAUUUGAUCAUCAUUUAACUUAAUAUAGAUAAGGAAUGACAAUUUGAUAUGUGAUGUGUGUGACUUCUCAGGUGGCCAUUAUGGCAAAAAAAAAAAGUCCAUCUGUGCGUCUUAAUUUAAAACACAUUGUGAUUGGUGCAUGGGCCAAUCUAUUGAAGUCUUGUAAAUCAAGGCUUUAAGUGGCAGCUGACUCGAUCUCAGCUGCAUUCUGGAGGGUUUCUUUAUUUGGUCCCGAACUUCAAUGCUAAAGGUUUUUGUUGUAAUAUAUAUUAUGGUUUGUCCAUGUAAUAAGUUAAAUGAUCAUCAGGUGUCAUUUUGACCCAAAAUGGAAGGAAAUGCAGAUUGGCAGUGGUUUCAUACACUCACAUAUGCUGUCACUGUAAACAUAUUUUAAUUUAUUAUAUACAGUUGCUAAAAAAAAAGCCUUUAUACUUGUUGACCACUUUUCUUGUGCCACUUCAAAAUGUGCUUAAUUUCUAAGGUUUAACAGUUAAUGGGAUUGGCAACGAAUGUGUGUUAUAUAAAUGAAAUUUAGAUACAUUUGUGUUUUCAGUCAGUUUUUCACACAAGAAGAAAAUGAUUGUGUGAGAAUCCCACACAUCUUAUGCAAUCUUUCUGAAAUUCCAAGGAGUGUAAGCGUGUAUUAAAUAGGAUAGCAUAAGAUUGCAAUUCCAUUUUCCCACUGCAGUCUACGUCGCACUGUUGUACUUGUGCUUGGAGUUUAUCUUUAGAUUGGAGUUUUGGGAUGAGGUCAAUGGCUUUUUUUUUUUUUUCUUUUUUUUAUCCUUUCAAAAUGUUCCGACACAGAACUAAGUUUUAUCCCUCAAGCUUUAGAUGCACACUCACACAGGAUGCAUGUUGAUACAGCUUCAGCUUUGAUUACGCACAAACUAAACGGGUCCUGUGACGUCCUGUGGCUGAUUCUCAAAUGGUGCCAUUAUGAAACGCUAGUCCCUGCACCUCAGUGGCAUUUUAGGAUAUUUGGUCGAGUCAAAUCUACAGUUUAGUUUCCAAGGUUUGAAGGGAAAGUUAACCAAUCAUCUGUCUGCCCAGCGAGUAUUCUCUCCUUUUUUAGAAAUUAUUUUUCCACAUAGUUAUUUUAUCCCAAAAUACAAGAGAUCAUAUUUACAUGUACAUACACUAACAGUUCAAACCUUCAGAAACUGCAUUUAUCAAAAGAAAGAAAAUCCAUAUAAUUAGACUCUUGUGUGCUGUAUUUGUGUUGCAGCUCGAUUGCUUUAGAACAAAUCACAACGUGAUUGAUGUCACAUUUAUCCUGUAUAAAAGCAGAUGCAUAAACAACAAUGCAUUCAUUUAAUAACCACAGUAUGCAACAUUGCAUAAAAAUUGCCAAAUUAACAAAUAGUCUUCUGCUAUGCAUGUAAACAACUUGAUUAAAAUGGCUUCGAACAUGCAGUAAGACCAAUAAUUAGAUUGUAUAUAUGUAAAUGUCCUUACUGAGAUGUGCUGAAGGGACUCGGUAACAAACUUGUUAGCGAGGGAAGCUGAAUACGACAGUUUUGAAAAGAAAACUUUUUAACAGCUAAGGGACUGUGUGCAAAUGAUUAGGGUGGGGCGAGGGGGGCUGAAUCUUAUUUUUAAUUUUAUGAAAAGCAAAAUCCCAAUGUUCACAUGAUUCUUUGAUAAAUCAGAUGAGGCUGACAGAUGUCUCAAUCACAUGGCCGGGCAUGUUGGAGACAGAUGUUACAAAGAGUGCAGCAUUUAAUAUUAUAAUGAAAGCCAUCUGUGUGAUGUAACUAUUAUACUUAAAAAAAAAAAAUAGAAUAAAUCUAACAGGGGGAGAAUGAAUCCGGGAUGAGACAAAGUAAAAAGACGCUCCCUGCCCUCCCAAAAAACA